UGGAUUUGUUGCUCUGCAAUGGGAUGAGAUUCGAAGCCCUCCGUGGGAUAAUACAGGCUCUCCCAUCCAACUCCUAUUCCGACACGUCCUCGUCAUGUAGAGUGGUAACAUGUGCCUCGAUAUAUCCUAGCUUGGGUACACGGGCCAGAUCCAACCCCUUGGGAUCCAACCCCUUCAACCAGAUCGACCACGUGUUAAUAAGCUGCCGA
rnacentral:ribozyme from 1 species